ensembl:lncRNA
AUGCGCGUGCGCACGAGUCGCAGCCGAGCAGCUGCGCACGCUUAUCCUAACGGGCGACCUCUGAAAACCCAAGUGUUUCGCUGCUAAGAAGCCGACCACAUGUCAAAAGUGUCGAGUCACCCCCGAGAGCAGCCCUUGACCCGGGAACGCCUGCGUCACGCUGGACUACACGCCGUGCGUUUUCCAGAGAGCCAAUUAGGAUCGAGAAGGUGUAAAGGGAUUUCCACCAGGCUGGGAGACGUUAAUGGGUGAUCGGCUGCAAUCUGCCGUCCCUGGAGGACUUGUUCGCUUCCAGGUCUCUGAAGCGAGCUAAAAAGAUCGCGGCCGACCCCUCCCACCCCGGACAUAAACUGUUUGUGACCCUUCCAUCUGGCAGGAGGCUGAGGUCCAUCAGGACUACGACCUCCCGCCACACGAACAGUUUCUUCCCGUCGGCAGUCGGGCUCAUCAACAGAGCCGGUCCCCCACUUCCUGACUAUAACACUCCACCGGUCACUCCCCUUCAUACUGCACAUGUCACUUUAACUGCAAUUCAUCACUUUGUCACUUGUCACUUUGUCUCUUGUCUGUUACUUGUUUGUUAAUGCACUUUAUGCUUAAUAUUUUUCAACUUUUUAAUAUUUAAAAUUUGUUUAACUUUAUUCCCCUGUUUUAUACUAACCCAUAGCCUUAGCCUUAUUCUUACUAACCCAUUGCAUUAGCAUUUCAUUCCACUUUAUUUUAUUACCUGUGCACUGUUGUCUUGUCUGUCUACUGUCGCGCACUAACCGCCAAGACAAAUUCCCUGUAUGUUUGACAUAUUUUGGCUAAUAAAUGUUUCCUGAUUCCUGAUUCCUGAUUUGCACACCUGCAGCGGGUCUCCAGAAGAGCCACAAACCGGGUCACCCGGACCAAUGUGACAAGUACCUGCUCAAACAUGUGGUUGUGCAACAAAUGUCAACGUCAGCACAACUGCAGGGGGUGUCACUACCACAAUCUAUACUGUCUUUGGAGGCAUUUCCAAAACAUAGCCGAGCGCCACGCUAUAUAUCUUGCGUCCGAGCGCGAGCAGAUUAUUCCACAAAGGAGCCAAUUGACUUAAAGCUAAGUCCCCAUCCUAUCAGGUGUAAUCUCCUGCUUUCCACACAGAGAUCAUCUCACGAGAGCGAUGCAGCGGCGCCCGAGGGCCUUUCCCCAGCGCAGGCCAGAGAGCUGCUUUUGCUUCCGAAAGAUGUUCUCAAGAGAUUUGAUGCAAGCAAGCAAGAGAACAAAGAACCUCUCCAGCUCUCAGCACACCGGUGGGUUCUCACUCGCACUUUCCUCUGUGCCUUCCAGCAGCUGCAGUCAGCUGGUCUGACUAGCGCCCUCUGUGAGAGGCAGGCACUAAAUGUUUCUGCAGAACACAUGGCAGAGACAGUGGUGCAAACCCCCCCUCCGAGGAACAGCUGCUCCGCCAUCAAUCACACUUACACCACCGACAUGGGAUGAGCAACUUAUGUUACUGUUUCCAGAACCAUUCGCUAUGAGGCUUCGACAAGGUCUUUCAUUUUCUUAAAAUAACAACAAUAAGUGAAUUUGAAUUUGUCGGCGCUACAAACAUGCAAAAUGUGAAUACAAUGUUCUUGCUUGCAUCUAAUGUAAAUUUAAGCUUUUGUCACAAACAGAUCCCACUGCUCACACUGAUAAUGCUUCUGUGUGCGUGUGUGUGCCCGCUGUCAACAAGUUAACCACAAAUCAAGCAGCCAACCAAACAACAGCAUAAAACAGAGUGCAGGAUGUGUGACUUGGGGUCAAUCGCCAAGGCAGUGUCGGUAGAUCGCCUGCCAAUGCAAAAAAAAUUCACUCAUGCACAGUCGACCGCGGGAGAGCUAACGGAAAGCUAAUGCUAAUUAGCGAUCUCUGCUUACUAACUCACACAUUUAAUUUCAUUCCAAAGCAACCCUGACUUAAUCCAACCCGUGCAAGUCAUCAAGUAAGCUAAUGACCGAGAAUGCGUGGGUUGAUUGUGACGGUUCCUCGAGGGGCUCGUUGUUUUAAAAAAAAAUAUUGAUUCGUUUUGCGCAUGCAACGGUAUGCAGCGCUGUUGUUCUGUUUGGGUCCUGCUACUACUCGUUCGUCCGGGGGGUGGGUGGAUUGCCAUUACUUGCUAAUACUUGGCAAUCUACCCACCAUUGGUCUAAACCAGGGAUCCCCCGACCAAUGGCCAUACACCACAGGCCAUAGAGAGUGGUUUAACGUGGAGAAAUCUAUUUAAUCAUGUGAAAAAUACCUCCUGUCUUUUCACGCACAACACAUUCCUGCUACUCAACACUCGACUGUGGUAUUUCAUUUGAACUGUAGCUUUGGUUUCUUUCUUUCUCUUUCUUCCUGUCAGUUCUUUCACUAUUACAUUAGUGAACAUACUCUCAUGUCUUGGUUACUGUCAGCUUGCACCUCGUGUUUUUAUUUUCUGGACAUUUAAGAGCAAAACCCCAGUCUCCCUAACCUUUUAUUGUUUCAAUAAAAGGACAUCAUCUUCUGUUUACAUAGCUUGAAUAAAGUGAGAGGUUUUUUGUCUUUAUUGGACGGAUAAAGAGUGAGGUAGCAGACAGGGGAGAAAGAGAGCCUUGCAACAAAAGAUCAGGUGGUUGGAGAAUUGGUUGG